UCUGCUCGUGCGCAGAGACGCUCAUAAUUCAACCACUCCCAUCUUCCAGCUCGCUCCGCACCUCUCAUCCUGAUCUCAGCCCCCGGUCUUGUCUUUUUCGCUGACUCAGUGCCUUAAAACAACAUUUUCGCCCCUCUGACCAUAGCUGCAACACCCACAGACAGCCAUGGCCAAAACUGCAAUUGCAUACAAAGAGAAGAUGAAGGAGCUGUCUGUUUUCUCCCUCAUCUGCUCCUGCUUCUAUCCAGAGGCACGCAACAAGCUGGUCGUCUGUGAGUUCGAAGACAUGGAGGUGAAGCCAAUCAACAAGCGGGCGUCGGGCCAAGCCUUUGAGGUGAUUCUGAAGCCCCCCCUCCCGGUGUCAGAUGCGGCCCACAGCAUCGCUUCACCCCCCAAGAGGGAGGUGUCCCUAGAGGACAUCCAGAAGAAAUUGGAGGCAGCUGAGGACCGGAGGAGGUCCCAGGAGGCCCAGGUGCUGAGGGCCCUGGCAGAGAAGAGGGAGCAUGAGAGGGAUGUGCUGCUCAAGGCCAUGGAAGAGAACAACAACUUCAGCAAAAUGGCGGAGGAGAAGCUCACCAUGAAGAUGGAGCAAAUCAAGGAGAACCGGGAGGCCCACCUUGCAGCCAUGAUGGAACGCCUGCAGGAGAAGGAGAGACAUGCAGCCGUGGUGCGCAGGAACAAAGAGCUGAGGGAAGAGCUGACAGCGUGAGCCCCACCUCUCCCCAACGUCCACCAACCACGUCCCUCCACCCAGCCUCACCCCUGGAAACUCCACAGCAGACACCAAGCCCUGGAGAGUGGAGGACUUCACUACCAACACACUACAUCACCCACCUGACCCCUCCACACACACACACACACACACACACACACUAUCAGUAUUAACAGUAUUUUUAAAUGGAUAAUUAAUGAUUUACUUUUUUUUCGAAGGGGAAAAAUCAACAUGAAAACAUGGGUAUUAUUUUGUAAAUACUUCAUUUUUGUAUCUAUCUUGAUGGGUAGACUAGGCUGAUUGAGCGCAAACAAGUGUAUCAAAUGUACUGCGUUGUACAAUUUCAAAUGUUUAAUUUGUUAUCUAAUUAUUUAUUGGUUCUUGAAAUUUGAAUGUACAAUAAUUUAUUUGUGAAAGUAUUUUUUGGUGUUGUGAGUUGGUUGUUAGCUGGCGUUUGUAUUGUUUUCUGAUGAUGUCAGUUUCUGUGUCUUUGUGAAGAAUGUUAACAGGUCGUGAACUCAGAAUCCUGACAGCGCAUCCCAUUUUAUCACCUCACACACACACACACACACACACACACACACACACACACACACACACACACACACACACACACACACACACACACACACACACACACACACACACACACACACACACACACACACACACGCUAUGAACGCACAUUAACAAUCUGCCAAACUCUCGGCUUAAAAUGUCCACAUGUCCUGAAAGGAUCUUGAGGUAGCUGGAACAAGAGAGGUGAUUGGUCCUCUUUAACAAUGUGUCUCCAGAAGGAUCAACUGUUUAUCACUUCCUCCAGACUGACCCCUGACUAUAUAUGGCACCUGUUCCCUAUAAAGUGCACUACUGUUGACCAGAGUAGUGCAGUUAUAAGGGUAUAGUGUUCCAUUUGGGAUGCAGGCCAGGUGAUUAACUUUAGUUUACUCUAGUCUGAUAUGUCCACUGAGUCUGGAGACUUGAAUGUUAUGACAUCAUAGAGCCACCAUACAUGACAUCCUGGCCAGUAGAAUGUUCUAAAGCCCCCUUUCCUUUAUCUUGAUAGACUAACAGCGACACACGUUCACUCUAAGUCUACGUGUGUGUGUGUGUGUGUGUGUGUGUGUGUGUGUGUGUAUGUGUGUGUGUGUGUUUCAAGUGAGGUGUCAUAUCAUCAGCGUCCUCUCUCUGGUAGUUCCAUAGACAGAGAAUGGAUGCUCCACAUUCAGCCCACUAAAAUGACCCUUUUUAGAUAUGUCACAACGAUCUGCCAGCAUCCUUCACAAGCUGACUACUACAGUACAAGUGUUCUCCCUCCAUGUGUCUCAAGCUUCGCUGAAUAAAGCUUUGGGGUUCUGUCAACAUGACAUGUACCAUCUCAUUAUUUUCUGUGCUAAAGACAAGGAAACAUGUAAACUGCCAAAUAAAAGAACCAAUGACUUAAA